GGUCGCCUGUUUAUCAAAAACAUUGGUAAUUGAAUUAUAUAAUUAGUAAGCCCUGCCCACUGCAAAUGUCAACGGCCGCGGUAUCCUAACCGUGCAAAGGUAGCAUAAUCACUUGUUCAUUAAUUGUGGACUAGAAUGAACGGGUAAACGAAAUAACUACUGUCUCUUUAAGACCAAAUUUAAAUUAAUACUUAUGUGAAGAAGCAUAAAUUUAUUCGCAGGACAAGAAGACCCUAUAGAGCUUUACCAUACACUUAUACAAAAUAGGCAGCGGUUCGGUUGGGGCGACCCAGGAUAAAUCAUCCUAAUCUUUUAAGACAUAUAUGUCUAACCUAGGAUCCUAAAACGAUCAAAAGAGCAAGCUACCUUAGGGAUAACAGGCUAAUCCCAUUAAAGAGCUCUUAUCACCAAUGGGGAUUGGCACCUCGAUGUUGGCUUAGGAUAUCACUUUAGUGUAGCAGCUAAAAAAGUUGGUUUGUUCAACCAUAAAAAUCCUACGUGAUCUGAGUUCA
rnacentral:rRNA from 1 species